CAAAUGCAAUGAUUACUGUUGAUGUACUACAAGCUAAAACUAGAAGUACACUUAUGUCUUCCAGAAUCCAAACUUUGAAAAUUUGAUUUAGCUAAGCUGAGUUGGCUACUAAUAGUAGUACAUUAAGUAGUACACCUAAAAUUUCCUAGUACAUGUAUAUGUACUGCAAAAUUGCAAAGUACAAACAUCCCCUCCUUUAUGUGAUUAUUACAUAUAGAAUCAGAAUCAAUCAAUAACUUCAUUCAACAUUGCAUUUUAUGCAUAAUUUAACAAACCAAAUUUUCAAUGAGAAGGGAAUCUUAUUGAAUAUGAGAAGCUGCUUAACACUAAGGAUGUCUAACAUGGAGGAGAUUUCAAUUUUAUAGCUUGCACACACGUACGGAUAGUGGGUGAAUUUGGUGGUUAAGAAUUAAGAUUGAACAAUGUGUUUGAUCUUUCUGAAAGAUUUGAAAGGAUUCGAUGCUUCACCAACCGGAAUUAGGUCACUUUCAAAGGUGUAGGGUUAAGAUGCGGAAAUUAGAGGGGAGUAAGCAAAAACUAAAGGAGAAUUAGCAUGCAAAAACUACACAUUAGCAUAAUAUGAUCAAUAAUUGAGCGGUUAGGUGUUCGAUGAAUGAUUCUUGUGUAUGGAUAAAAUUUGAUUGAGAGGAAAAAAUUCAUCUCGUGCACCUUCUCUGACAAAGAUUAGUCACACCACUACUGAGAGGGAAGAACUAACCUUACACGUCCAGCAAAUUCUUCGGUAGAGAUUAGUUACUUCUAAAUGGCAGUAAAAACUUUGUCGUCUUAUAACGUGGUAACUAAAAAAUUUGUUUGUAGUAUUCUUUUGAGGUAAUUGUAACUGUUAAGAAGUCUCACAUCGGUUGCGAUAUGGCCUGACUAAGUAUUUAUAAACUAGAGGCAAUCCUCACUUUACAAGCCGGUUUUGUAAUGAUUAAUUAGACCCAAUACACAAUUCUAAGAGUAACUAGUGUGAGUCUAACGUUACCGCCAUAAUACAUAUUUGAUGUUCAUAAAGUGGUUUUGUCUAACAUGUAAACGUGACAAGUCUUUCACCAUGCAUAAGUAUAUUUUUGUUAUUUGAUCAAUAAAUUUUACCAUUUUUGGAUAAAAAUGCCACAUCAUAUCCAUUCGAUUCAAUGGGUGAUCCAAUGGUGAAAACAAGUUUGUGCAUGACAAAAUACUUGUCUCAUUUGUGCACCAUAAAUUUGGCCAUAUAAAACUAUAUAAGAGAUAAAGAGUGAAUAAAAUUUUGUUUCGCAAGUAUUGCUCAGUUGGUAACUACCAUAAAUAUUAUUGGAAGGGUCGGGAUCUGAACCCCAAAUUUCUCACUUUUCCACACUUACUGAGUGGGAGUCUAACCACUUGUCAAAGACAUCGCUCACUAUCCUAAAGAAGUAAACAUGACAUUGGCACAAGUGUUGAAGUAUUUCAUUCUUGCAAUAAAAUUUUAUUUUUCUACAAUCAAUAUUCAAUACUCUAUACAAAAGAAAACUCAUAUUUAAGUGUACAUACAUAUAUACUCCACAUUUUGUGUCAUCACAAUUAAUUUCCACUUUACAUAUUUUUCUUUCUUUCUUUCUUGGUUCUCUACUAUACAUAUUUUACUUAACCUCUAUAUUAUAAUCCUAUAAAAGUUCCUACAAUUGUUUGUUUGUUAAUAUACCCUUUUGUGGUAUAAUUAGUCAUGUAACUCAAUUUCAAGCUUUAGUGAAUCCAAGUUCAAAGGGUAUACCAGUAGCAGGUCCAGUAUUAGCAUACUCAGCAAAAUAACAUGUAUCAAGAAAUUGAGUCCCUGACCAAGGAAGAUAUCCAUCUGGUUGAAUUAAAUCACCUAUAGUAUUUUCCAUAAAUAUUGCUCUCGAAUACGCUUUCC